UACGUAAGGUGCGAGCGUUGUCCGGAAUUAUUGGGCGUAAAGAGCUCGUAGGCGGUGUGUCACGUCGGCCGUGAAAACCUGCAGCUUAACUGUGGGCGUGCGGUCGAUACGGGCAUCACUGGAGUUCGGCAGGGGAGACUGGAAUUCCUGGUUCAGCGGUGAAAUGCGCAGAUAUCAGGAGGAACACCGGUGGCGAAGGCGGGUCUCUGGGCCGAUACUGACGCUGAGACGCGAAAGCGUGGGGAGCGAACAGG
rnacentral:rRNA from 1 species